CAGGUGUGUCAGGGUGUACUGACACUGCACAGGUGAGACAGGUGUGCACAGGUGUGCACAGGUGUGCACACGUGGGACAGGUGAGACAGGUGUGUAGAGGUAUGCACAUGUGAGAUGUGUGGCCGAGUGUAAGGACCCUGUACAGGUGUGCACCGGUGUGUCAGGGUGCACUCACCCUGUACAGGUGUGCACAGGUGUGUCAGCCAGGUGUCCAAAGGGGGACACAGGGAGGUAUUUCAUGGCCCCCCCAGGUGUGUGGGCUCCCCCCCAGGUGUGUUUGGGCCCCACCUUGUAGUAGUUGAUGAGGUUCAGGUACUGCAGCGUGGAGAUCAC